UGCACUUGUGCUGUUUUUGUUUAGUUUGUGAACAAAUACUUAGAUCAAGUGCAAAAAAUAAAUCCUCUUUUGCAACCCAGAACUCGUGGCGCAGUAUGAGUCCUGAUACAGAUAAGAAGGAAUAGG
ensembl:snoRNA